AUUGAACGCUGGCAGCAUGCCUUACACAUGCAAGUCGAACGGUAACAGGUCUUCGGAUGCUGACGAGCGGCGAACGGGUGAGUAAUACAUCGGAACGUGCACGAUCGUGGGGGAUAACGAAGCGAAAGCUUUGCUAAUACCGCAUAAGAUCUACGGAUGAAAGCCUGGGACCGCAAGGCCUUGCGCGAACGGAGAGGCCGAUGGCAGAUUAGGUAGUUGGUGGGAUAAAACCUUACCAAGCCGACGAUCUGGAGCUGGUCUGAGAGGACGACCAGCCACACUGGGACUGAGACACGGCCCAGACUCCUACGGGAGGCAGCAGUGGGGAAUUUUGGACAAUGGGCGAAAGCCUGAUCCAGCCAUGCCGCGUGCAGGAUGAAGGCCUUCGGGUUGUAAACUGCUUUUGUACGGAACGAAAAGACUCUUUCUAAUAAAGAGGGUCCAUGACGGUACCGUAAGAAUAAGCACCGGCUAACUACGUGCCAGCAGCCGCAGUAA
rnacentral:rRNA from 1 species